rnacentral:RNase_P_RNA from 1 species
CAAGGCAGCCGGAUAGCCGCGUCAUGGCUUUGCCCAUGAUGAGGAAAGUCCGGGCUUCGGGAGAACAAGACACCAGAUAACGUCUGGCUGGAGCAAUCCAAGGGAAAGUGCCACAGAAACAUACCGCCGGGUUUUUCCCGGUAAGGCUGAAAAGGCGAGGUAAGAGCUCACCGCAGGUUUGGUAACAGGCCUGGCAAGGCAAACCCUGUCUGAUGCAAGACCAAGUUAGGGGAUUUCAGGUAUAAGGCCUUGUGCUUUAUAAACCGGAUUUUACGGAGCGUUCUCUCUCCACUCCAGAGGUAGGUCGCGACGAGCUGUUUAGCGAUAAGCAGCCCAGAUGAAUGGCUAUCGUUCCGCGCAAGCGGAAUACAGAACCCGGCUUAUAGGCUGCCUUAUUUU